rnacentral:rRNA from 1 species
GUCCUACGGGGGGCAGCAGUCGGGAAUAUUGCGCAAUGGAGGAAACUCUGACGCAGUGACGCCGCGUAUAGGAAGAAGGUUUUCGGAUUGUAAACCUCUUUUGUCAGGGAGCAACGCCGGCUACGUGUAGCCGGACUGAGAGUACCUGAAGAAAAAGCAUCGGCUAACUCCGUGCCAGCAGCCGCGGUAAUACGGAGGAUGCGAGCGUUAUCCGGAUUUAUUGGGUUUAAAGGGAGCGUAGGCGGAAUGCCAAGGCAGCGGUAAAAUCGCGGGGCUCAACCU